GGGUGCGACUAUACCAGCACUAAUGCACCAAAUCCCAUCAGAACUUCACAGUCAGGCGUGCUUAGGCGAGAGCAGUACUAAGAUCGGUGACCUCUUGGGAAGUAAACGUAUUGCACCCC
rfam:Citrus sinensis cultivar Ridge Pineapple sweet orange scaffold01086_contig_1, whole genome shotgun sequence.